rnacentral:rRNA from 1 species
GAUGAACGCUGGCGGCGUGCCUAAUACAUGCAAGUCGAGCGAACGGACGAGAAGCUUGCUUUUCUGAUGUUAGCGGCGGAAGGGUGAGUAACACGUGGAUAACCUACCUAUAAGACUGGGAUAACUUCGGGAAACCGGAGCUAAUACCGGAUAAUAUUUUGAACCGCAUGGUUCAAAAGUGAAAGACGGUCUUGCUGUCACUUAUAGAUGGAUCCGCGCUGGAUUAGCUAGUUGGUAAGGUAACGGCUUACCAAGGCAACGAUGCAUAGCCGACCUGAGAGGGUGAUCGGCCACACUGGAACUGAGACACGGUCCAGACUCCUACGGGAGGCAGCAGUGGGGAAUCUUCCGCAAUGGGCGAAAGCCUGACGCAGCAACGCCGCGUGAGUGAUGAAGGUCUUCGGAUCGUAAAACUCUGUUAUUAGGGAAGAAAAUAUGUGUGAGUAACUGUGCACAUAUUGACGGUACCGUAACAGAAAGCCACGGCUAACUACGUG